rnacentral:rRNA from 1 species
UAGGGAAUCUUCGGCAAUGGACGGAAGUCUGACCGAGCAACGCCGCGUGAGUGAAGAAGGUUUUCGGAUCGUAAAGCUCUGUUGUAAGAGAAGAACGAGUGUGAGAGUGGAAAGUUCACACUGUGACGGUAUCUUACCAGAAAGGGACGGCUAACUACGUGCCAGCAGCCGCGGUAAUACGUAGGUCCCGAGCGUUGUCCGGAUUUAUUGGGCGUAAAGCGAGCGCAGGCGGUUAGAUAAGUCUGAAGUUAAAGGCUGUGGCUUAACCAUAGUAGGCUUUGGAAACUGUUUAACUUGAGUGCAAGAAGGGAGAGUGGAAUUCCAUGUGUAGCGGUGAAAUGCGUAGAUAUAUGGAGGAACACCGGUGGCGAAAGCGGCUCUCUGGCUUGUAACUGACGCUGAGGCUCGAAAGCGUGGGGAGCAAACAGGAUUAGAUACCCUGGUAGUCCACGCUGUAAACGAUGAGUGCUAGGUGUUAGACCCUUUCCGGGGUUUAGUGCCGUAGCUAACGCAUUAAGCACUCCGCCUGGGGAGUACGACCGCAAGGUU